UAUCCAGCAAAAUCUGGAUCAGGUUUCGAACCCUGCAACUUACAAGUGACACAUAGGCGCGUCACGCGCUUUUUUU
rnacentral:sRNA from 1 species